UUUUUUUUAAGAUAACGCACAAAAGCUUUGCCUGCAUUGGCAGUGCCAAUGUGUGGUAGUGAAGAGUUCAAAAUACAGAAGAAAAAAAAGUCACUUCCCCUCCUGCACAUAACAGGAAAAGUCUGCUCCAGCUGCACUGAUAAUAUAGCCAAGCAGCUGCAUGCAGUUCAGCUUAGCAGAAGCACACCCAUUCAUAAUUGUUACAUGUAAAAAUACAGCUUUUUUUAAUUAUCACUUUCAAAACAGUGAAAGCCAGACUGUGAGCUUCAACCAAGAGGAAAAUGUGAGUAAUUACUUUCAGUUUUCCCCCCAGAUGCUACUACUUGGAGAACAAAAACAUCAAGUGGAUGGAUGGACGGAUGCUCGUCUGUACUUAAUGUACCGUAUACCUAAUGAGGAUGGCAUCACUCUCUCACAUGACAAGUGUCCCAGCAAGGAAAGAAUGACUUGUGUAAGUGGGUCACCAGUGUGGCGCCACUCUUACGUCUCGCUUUGAUUUGGCCAGUGGUUUGUCUCAAGUGGCUUUGCAAAGGAGUACGAAGAGCAAGCGGCAGGCGCCCACACGGAACCUGAUGAAUCCGAGUCCGACCCAUUCUUGCAUUCAGCCCUAAAGCGUCUCCCUGCUGGCUGUGAGCCACGUUGCCAUUUAAGUCUGGACUCAGGAUAAGCCCUGCAGCUGAGGCCUACAUCUCAGUUAUGACUGACAUCUGAGCGCUUCAACGUUUUCAUUACACCGCUGGGAGGAAACAAGAUGUGCUGCUGGAGCAAGGACAGGCCGCAACGUAGGCAGCCCACAGGAGAUGGGAGGAAGCAGAGGAAGCAAAGUGGAGCUCUAUCUCCAACCCGACCGAGCGCCUCUCGCAUGGCAAGCAGAAGGACGUUCAUGAUGGCAAGCAGCGGGCAGGGGCCGUUCUCGUUCUGGGUGAUGAUCGGCGUGUUCUCCUCCCUCCACUUGAUCCAU